GGGAAUCUUCGGCAAUGGACGGAAGUCUGACCGAGCAACGCCGCGUGAGUGAAGAAGGUUUUCGGAUCGUAAAGCUCUGUUGUAAGAGAAGAACGAGUGUGAGAGUGGAAAGUUCACACUGUGACGGUAUCUUACCAGAAAGGGACGGCUAACUACGUGCCAGCAGCCGCGGUAAUACGUAGGUCCCGAGCGUUGUCCGGAUUUAUUGGGCGUAAAGCGAGCGCAGGCGGUUAGAUAAGUCUGAAGUUAAAGGCUGUGGCUUAACCAUAGUACGCUUUGGAAACUGUUUAACUUGAGUGCAAGAGGGGAGAGUGGAAUUCCAUGUGUAGCGGUGAAAUGCGUAGAUAUAUGGAGGAACACCGGUGGCGAAAGCGGCUCUCUGGCUUGUAACUGACGCUGAGGCUCGAAAGCGUGGGGAGCAAACAGGA
rnacentral:rRNA from 1 species